rnacentral:lncRNA from 1 species
AGGCAGCAGCAUACAGGUCUGUAGAAGCCUAACAGCCCUCCUGGAUCCUUUGCUGCACAGACGGUCACCCUUUCUGCACACCACAGGCUGACAGGUGGUUACUGUCUUCAGCACGUGUCAAAGGGACAAUUUUCUAUUAAAUUAGUCUUCCUUUCAGUAACUCGUGGUCCUCCCACAAAGACUCCAGCAUUUCGUCCACCUACCCCAGUUUGAAAAACAAUUUGAGCUGAAUUUGCUUCACUCUGAAGAAAGAACUUUUUAGAAAAUC